UACGAAGGGGGCUAGCGUUGCUCGGAAUCACUGGGCGUAAAGCGCACGUAGGCGGAUCUUUAAGUCAGGGGUGAAAUCCUGGAGCUCAACUCCAGAACUGCCUUUGAUACUGGGGAUCUCGAGUCCGGAAGAGGUAAGUGGAACUCCGAGUGUAGAGGUGAAAUUCGUAGAUAUUCGGAAGAACACCAGUGGCGAAGGCGGCUCACUGGUCCGGUACUGACGCUGGGGUGCGAAAGCGUGGGGAGCAAACAGG
rnacentral:rRNA from 1 species